rnacentral:rRNA from 1 species
UACGAAGGGGGCUAGCGUUGCUCGGAAUUACUGGGCGUAAAGGGCGCGUAGGCGGACAGUUAAGUCAGAGGUGAAAGCCCAGGGCUCAACCCUGGAAUUGCCUUUGAUACUGGCUGUCUUGAGUAUGGGAGAGGUGAGUGGAACUCCGAGUGUAGAGGUGAAAUUCGUAGAUAUUCGGAAGAACACCAGUGGCGAAGGCGGCUAUCUCGG